UACGUAGGGAGCUAGCGUUGUCCGGAAUCAUUGGGCGUAAAGCGCGCGUAGGCGGCCCGGUAAGUCCGCUGUGAAAGUCAAAGGCUCAACCUUUGAAUGUCAGCGGAUACUGCCGGGCUAGAGUCCGGAAGAGGCGAGUGGAACUCCUGGUGUAGCGGUGGAAUGCGCAGAUAUCAGGAAGAACACCAACGGCGAAGGCAGCUCGCUGGGACGGAACUGACGCUAAGGCGCGAAAGCUAGGGGAGCAAACAGG
rnacentral:rRNA from 1 species